CAUCUUCACCGAAAUGUCAACCUAAAAUCAGCCAUGGGAGAGCUUGUUAUUGGGCCAAACUUUGAAGACAAACUGAUUGAGAAAAGCGAAAUACGGAUCUAGAUUGGAGAAAAGAUAAAGUAUCGGACUAGUCGAUCCAUUCUGUCGUUUUAGCAAUCGAGGUAAGUUCGUAUAAUCGAACUUCAGUGUAUAUUUAUGUAAUUGAUGAAUGAUAGUAUGAAUGUAUUCAUAUAAUCGAUUUAAUUGUGGAGCUUAAAUUAAAUGUUCGAAAUAAGUAAAAAUGCAGGAUCGAACACAAUCGUUUCGUAACGAAAGACGAAUUGGUGGAAAAAACUGUGGUUGGACCAUGGCAUUACAUGAUUUCGUAUAAGACCAUAGCUGGGCUAUGGCAUCGAUAUAUGAGACUUUGUGUAAGACUAUAUAUGGGAUAUGGCAUCGAUAUAUGUGAUUACGUGUAAGACCAUGUCUAGGACAUUGGCAUCUUUAUGUGAUUUCGUGUAAGACUAUGUCUGGGACAUUGGCAUCGAUAUAUGAUUCGUGUAAGACCAUAGCUGGGCUAUUGGCAUCGAUAUGUGAUAACAUGUAAGACCAUAUCUGGAUAUAGCAUUGUAUGUGAUAUACGAGACUUUCGAGUAUCUUUAACAAUUCUGAAUGGUUCAUCACGCAAAGUUAAGACAAGAAUGAAAGUUCAAUUGAAUUAAGCAACACAGGUACGUUCAGAACCUAUGUGAGAGUUAAAUGAAGGUAAUUUAAUGAGAAUUAUUAGUGUAUAAUUAUAUUUAUGCCAAAAUGUGUUUAUUUGGCUAUAAUGAGGUAUGAAUUGAAUGAUAUGUGUGGUAUGAACAAUGAUUGUAUUAAUGAUAUGAAUAUGGCACAUUGAGUGAGAAUUACAAUUAUUUAACGAUAAUUUACAUGAUUCUUUCGGCUAUAGAAAUGUGAUGAAUAAUGGAUCAAAUAAAGCUAUAUAUUGUUGUUUAUGUAUUUGUAAAUGAGAAUGAAGUGAUAAGAAGUUUAAGAGGCAUACGAGCUUUGAAAUGAAUAAACUCGUAGAAAUCUUGUUUAAUCAUGUGCAUGAAUAUGAGGUAGAAUUGUGAAAUCAAAUGAGCUAUAUUAUGACUUGAUGCCAUUGUUUGUAAUGUGAUUAUUUAGUAAUAUGAGUUAUUAUAUUACGAGCUUACUAAGCUUUAUAGCUUACUUGGUGUUUUUUUUUAUGUUUUACAGUGUUUGGGACAUUCGCUCGGGUUGGAACUCGACGGAGAUUGCAUCACACUAUCCAGCUAAUAAUUUCAGUAUUUAUAUACUUUGUGACUUGGUUAUAUGGCAUGUAUUGUUGUAAGCUAAGUAUAUGAAAGUGACAUAUGAUUGAUACUUAUUUAGGUAUCUAAAUGCCUUAUUAUAUAGUCAUAAGGUUCGGCUAAUAGAAUUAUAAUGUAUAUGUAUUAUGAUAUGAUGUUUUAUAAUAGUAAAAUAUGUUUGGUUAGUUGGUUAA